rnacentral:rRNA from 1 species
GAUGAACGCUAGCUACAGGCUUAACACAUGCAAGUCGAGGGGCAGCAUUUUAGUUUGCUCGCAAACUGAAGAUGGCGACCGGCGCACGGGUGAGUAACACGUAUCCAACCUGCCGAUAACUCCGGAAUAGCCUCUCGAAAGAAAGAUUAAUACCGGAUAGCAUACGAAUAUCGCAUGAUAUUUUUAUUAAAGAAUUUCGGUUAUCGAUGGGGAUGCGUUCCAUUAGUUUGUUGGCGGGGUAACGGCCCACCAAGACUACGAUGGAUAGGGGUUCUGAGAGGAAGGUCCCCCACAUUGGAACUGAGACACGGUCCAAACUCCUACGGGAGGCAGCAGUGAGGAAUAUUGGUCAAUGGGCGAGAGCCUGAACCAGCCAAGUAGCGUGAAGGAUGAAGGCUCUAUGGGUCGUAAACUUCUUUUAUAUGGGAAUAAAGUUUUCCACGUGUGGAAUUUUGUAUGUACCAUAUGAAUAAGGAUCGGCUAACUCCGUGCCAGCAGCCGCGGUAAUACGGAGGAUCCGAGCGUUAUCCGGAUUUAUUGGGUUUAAAGGGAGCGUAGGUGGAUUGUUAAGUCAGUUGUGAAAGUUUGCGGCUCAACCGUAAAAUUGCAGUUGAAACUGGCAGUCUUGAGUACAGUAGAGGUGGGCGGAAUUCGUGGUGUAGCGGUGAAAUGCUUAGAUAUCACGAAGAACUCCGAUUGCGAAGGCAGCUCACUAGACUGUCACUGACACUGAUGCUCGAAAGUGUGGGUAUCAAACAGGAUUAGAUACCCUGGUAGUCCACACAGUAAACGAUGAAUACUCGCUGUUUGCGAUAUACAGUAAGCGGCCAAGCGAAAGCAUUAAGUAUUCCACCUGGGGAGUACGCCGGCAACGGUGAAACUCAAAGGAAUUGACGGGGGCCCGCACAAGCGGAGGAACAUGUGGUUUAAUUCGAUGAUACGCGAGGAACUUUACCCGGGCUUAAAUUGCAACAGAAUAUAUUGGAAACAGUAUAGCCGUAAGGCUGUUGUGAAGGUGCUGCAUGGUUGUCGUCAGCUCGUGCCGUGAGGUGUCGGCUUAAGUGCCAUAACGAGCGCAACCCUUAUCUUUAGUUACUAACAGGUUAUGCUGAGGACUCUAGAGAGACUGCCGUCGUAAGAUGUGAGGAAGGUGGGGAGGACGUCAAAUCAGCACGGCCCUUACGUCCGGGGCUACACACGUGUUACAAUGGGGGGUACAGAAGGCAGCUACACGGCGACGUGAUGCUAAUCCCAAAAACCUCUCUCAGUUCGGAUCGAAGUCUGCAACCCGACUUCGUGAAGCUGGAUUCGCUAGUAAUCGCGCAACAGCCAUGGCGCGGUGAAUAAAAAGCCGGGCCUUGCACA